CACUUAUCAUUAUUCUAAUUCACAUAUUUUGUAAAUUCAAUUAAAAAAUUGUGUUACCUUCAUCAUUGCAUUUUAAUAAAUUAUUAAAGGUAAUUCGAGUUUUACUUAGGUACUGAUUGAGCUUAAUGUAUGCAGGUCAAGUCACGCUUAAUUAGGUAAAGCCUAAACUACACUACAUCAUUUCACAAUUUCACAUUCUCCGGAGUCGACUCUAAGAACUCAUCUCCGAAAUCCAAUGCUAUCCAAAUUUCAAAUUAUAUCAUCUUUAGCCGCACGGAUCCUAAAGAAUUUCAGCUUUAUCCCUUCCAAAAUGCUCUGCAUCCUUCCCAGCAAAACAAUAUCAUUUCCAACGUUUUCCCAUUCUCCAGCAUCCGCAGUUGAUCCCAUGUGAAGUCUCAAAUCCCGCUCCACGGACAACGCUCACGUGUGCAUGGCCUCCGCGUUUGCCUCUUCCGGAUCACUCCCAACGGCGGAUCAGAUCAACUCUGAGAACAAGCUUAUCCUCUUCCCAUCGUAUCCACGUCAACAAACCUCCCAUGCUAGCCUUCCCCUGUUCCACGACAUUCACCCAGAACCAAUCCCA
rnacentral:lncRNA from 1 species